AAUAGCACGGAGUACCCCAAAGACUGAUGGUAUAAUCUUCUGACUUUGCCCCUCCAGCAGGGUUCUCAACCACUGAAAAAACAGUGUCCCUUUGUACCACUUCAGAGAAGUGAGUCAUAAAGAAAAGGAAAGCCACUAGGAUGUCCAACAGAGCCAAAUACCCCCUUUCACCAACAUGGAUAGAUUACUUACCAGUGCAAAGUUUUAUUUGUCCCAUAACCAGGCCUGAAGCCAGAUAGAGAUGAAUCUGGGAGGAACUGGUGGACCUGAGGGAAGACUGCAAGCCUUCCAUCUGGUCAGCCCACCCUCCCCAGGAGUUCCUGGGAAGAAGACACCAAGCUGGUGACCAUGUGAGGCCACCUUUCUCUGGCUCCCUGACCUGACAGCAACUUCGAACGUGGGUUUAUAGAAUACCUGACAGACAUCUAACAGAUCUGCAACUGAGCUGGCCAAGAUAUUUUGUGUGCCUGACACAACCGUACCACUUGGCCAAGAGAAGGAGUGACCUUCCUGCAUAGCUAUCCCUCCACAUCAUCCUGAGAACAACAGCAUCUUCACCAUGUUGGGGUGGAACAGACAGGCAUGAAAGAGCAACCCGAGCCAGAAGUAGGUUCCAAGCUCACUGUCCACAUGGUCUGCUCGCAAGGUGGGCUGUGGA